UCCCGGUUGGCUUAGUGGGUAAAGAACCUGCCUGUAAUGCAGGAGACGCCAGAGGUAUGGGUUCGAUUCCUGGGUCAGGAA
rfam:TPA: Bos taurus chromosome 6, whole genome shotgun sequence.